rnacentral:rRNA from 1 species
AUUGAACGCUGGCGGCAUGCCUUACACAUGCAAGUCGAACGGCAGCACGGGAGCAAUCCUGGUGGCGAGUGGCGAACGGGUGAGUAAAGUAUCGGAACGUGCCCAGUCGUGGGGGAUAACGUAGCGAAAGUUACGCUAAUACCGCAUACGAUCUAUGGAUGAAAGCGGGGGAUCGCAAGACCUCGCGCGAUUGGAGCGGCCGAUAUCAGAUUAGGUAGUCGGUGGGGUAAAGGCUCACCAAGCCGACGAUCUGUAGCUGGUCUGAGAGGACGACCAGCCACACUGGGACUGAGACACGGCCCAGACUCCUACGGGAGGCAGCAGUGGGGAAUUUUGGACAAUGGGCGCAAGCCUGAUCCAGCCAUGCCGCGUGCAGGAUGAAGGCCUUCGGGUUGUAAACUGCUUUUGUACGGAACGAAAAGGUUUGACUUAAUACGUUGGACUCAUGACGGUACCGUAAGAAUAAGCACCGGCUGACUACGUGCCAGCCGCCGCAGUAA